UGACUACAGGGGUAUCUAAUCCCUUUCGCUCCCCUAGCUUUCGUCCCUCAGUGUCAGUGCAGACCCAGCAAGGCGCCUUCGCCACCGAUGUUCUUCCCAAUAUCUACGCAUUUCACCGCUACACUGGGAAUUCCCCUUGCCCCUAUCGCACUCUAGCCACCCAGUUUCAAUUGCCCUCAUAGAGUUAAGCUCUACGCUUUAACAACUGACUUGGAUAACCACCUACGGACGCUUUACGCCCAAUAAUUCCGGAUAACGCUUGCCUCCUCCGUAUUACCGCGGCUGCUGGCACGGAGUUAGCCGAGGCUGAUUCGAUAGGUACCGUCAUUGUGUUCUUCCCUAUCAAAAGAGGUUUACAACCAGUAGGCCUUCCUCCCCCACGCGGUCUUGCUCCGUCAGGCUUUCGCCCAUUGCGGAAAAUUCCCCACUGCUGCCUCCCGUAGGAGUCUGGGCCGUGUCUCAGUCCCAGUGUGGCUGAUCAUCCUCUCAGACCAGCUACUGAUCGUCGCCUUGGUAGUCCCUUACACUACCAACUAGCUAAUCAGACGCGAGCUCUUCCUCAGGCCAUAUAAGUUUUACCUCUCGGCACAUCGGGUAUUAGCAGUCGUUUCCAACUGUUGUCCCCAUCCUAAGGGUAGAUUCUCACGCGUUACUCACCCGUCCG
rnacentral:rRNA from 1 species